GACGGAGGAUGCAAGCGUUAUCCGGAAUGAUUGGGCGUAAAGCGUUCUCAGGUGGCUGUUCAAGUCUGCUGUCAAAGACCGGGGCUUAACCCUAGAAAGGCAGUGGAAACUGAACAGCUGGAGUGCAGUAGGGGUAGAGGGAAUUCCCAGUGUAGCGGUGAAAUGCGUAGAGAUUGGGAAGAACACCGGUGGAGAAAGUGCUCUGCUGGACUGCAAAUGACAAUGAGGGACGAAAGCUAGGGGAGCGAAAGGG
rnacentral:rRNA from 1 species